AAUCUAUAGAUUGCAAACUAUCUCGUGUAUUUUUUUGAAAAUUUUACGCUUAGUAGUUUCGGAGAUAAGGGUAAAUAUAUAUAUAAUUAUACAAGUAAAAAAAGUUCUAUGAGCAGGAGGUGUGCCUCAAAUGUCAUAAUACAAACUUUUAAAGUAUAUUCUUUAAACAUAAUUACGUUCCUUAUAUAUUUAUAUUUUGAAUAACAAUAAAAAUCUUAUCUUAUGGACUAAUUCGUAACUAAUUUAACAAAUUCAGAGUGCGUUUUCUUGGAUAAUUUCUAGUUUACUUCGUAUUAUACCAUAUCUGAAAGGUAAUUUCUUUACGAUUCCUGUGAAACAAUGAAAAUGUAGACGUGUCUCCAAACAUCUACUUUACCAGGAAUUAAGUUGAUGCGGUAUUAGUUACCUGGCAUUGGUUACUUUUGGAUAGAGAAAUCUACAGCAAAAAAUGCUGAAAGAAUCUGUUAGCAGAUUUUUUUUAAUAAUACGAUCUUUCAACUUUAUUCUGACAAUAGCUUGAUGUUGUCCAUGAUAUUUAUGUAGAAGCCAGCAGCUUGCUAAAGCCAGUGCUCUCGAGUACGGGACGAAAGACUUGAUUUAACGAAGUCCCACAGUAUUGACCCAUUAACCGGUAUAGAAUGUAGUGUCCAAGAAAUUCGUUCAUUGAAAUGACACCCACGAUGAGCAACCAAAAUAUUUUAAAAAACGUACCGCGUACGGUACUUGCUUUACGGUCGUUCCAGAAAAAUUAUUUAGCUUGAUUCUAGUUUGAAAUUUGAAAUUUUAGAGUAUUUCGAAAAAUCGGGACAUUUUCUAAUUUGUCGGGAUUCGGGAACACAUGUUAAAAAUCGGGAGAAUCCCGCCGAAUCCCGACCGUCUGGCAACCCUAGGUGCGAGCUGCGACGCUGCGAGUGCGCCACCAGUCCGCCAUCUUUCUUACCUUUUUGAUGGUUGUUGACUUGUAAAUUUUGUAAUUAGUUUUUGCCGACGUCCGUUUUUUAAGUAAUUUUUGGUAUUUUACAAAUUGUGUUACUUUAGUGGACACGUGGAGACAUGGACGCUGACUGUUGGAAGAAUUCGUCAAUUCAGACUGGCGCAAAGAGCUAUCAGGGCGCGAUGCCAGGAAUUUCAUUGCGAGACAGAAUUCGAAAUGAGGAUAUUCGCCAACGCAAUAAAGUUACCGACAUUGCAAAAAGGAUUAACUCAAGUGGGAAUGGACCGGCUAUAUUUUUCGCAGAGAUGACGAUCAAUGGGGUCGCCUAGUAUUGCUGUGGAGACCUAGCCUGGGUGGCCGAGGUGGCGGGAAACCACGAGCAGAUGGUCGGAUGACACAUAUAGAACGGAGUGGAAACCCACGGAAUGCAGACCAGGAUCAUAUACUUUAGGUAUGAGUUUGUUACUUUUGCUCAUAAUAACAUGGAGUAUGUCACGGCUGCUCCACGGGCUGCAUUGAAGGGCAACAGGAGCGAAAAUGUUAAAAUGGAAAGGAGCUCCCCCUUUCAAUUAGGGAAUCUUAGGAUAUGCUAAGGCAAACAGAAGGAGGCAAGGAACGGGACUGCAUCAAUUGCUGUCUGGAACCAAUCUUGUGGGAUGACUUCUGGACAGGGAAAAACAAUUUCAUCAUCUACCCUAAUACUGACGAAUGUUCUAAAACGUGCUGUAAGGCAGACAUUUCCAAAUGUAACGGAGGAAAGUUUCGAGACAUGUAAUGGUUUCAACAUGCUGCUGAGACCCAACUCAAGAGACGUCAGUUUGUACUGUUUAGUCCAUUCUCUAUUGGGCAUGCUUGUAUAGAGAGGUAUAUAUAUAUAUAUUGGAGUACAGACAUGGUGUUUGGUAUGAGUAUUAUAUACAUCCUUUUGAGUCAAAUAGGACCGGUAGCCACUUUGAACUCCGUGUCCGAAAGGGUCAAAGUAUGGAGCUCCCGGUACUCAGAAAAAAAUUCUGGCCUAUUAGUUUUGAACUUUCGAGUCAAGUUUGGUGUCAUUUUUAAACUGUUCGCUUCGUUUUUAAAUUGAAGAAGAUUAAAAAUCACAGUAAUAUUAUAAAGGCAAAAGUUUGUGAGCAUACCGUGUUUGUUACUUCCUCACGCCACGCCCAAGUGCCUUAACAAAUAUUAUUUAUAAAAUUAAGUAUGGAGGAAGUACGAUAUACCCUAAGUUAACACGUCGCUUCUUCUUGAUCGUGGGUAACACUCGGGGCGCAGUAUAAUGAUUAUUAAAAAUCUUUAUGCUGUCCCCUAUGCUGCGAUGGCGAUCGUUGCAGUACUUUCAAUAUUUUUUUUACAUCAAAUAUUAGAAUCAUCAAAGAUUACUAAUAAAAUAGGCUUUUUAGAAAUAUUUUUUAAAAAUCAUGAUUAGUAUAAAAAUACGGAAAUAUGAGGAUUUGUUUGCAUUUCGUGGCUACUAAAAAUUCAUUAUUAAUAAAUAUUGUGCUAUAUUUUGCUAUGGAACCCUAAAAAAGUAGUUACAUAAAAAUGACACUAAAAUUGACUCAAAGCUCAAACUAAUCGGCCAGAAUUUUUUCUGAGCAGCAGGAGCUCCAUACUUUGACCCCCUCUCCCCCUUCGGACACGGAGUUCAAAGUGGCUACCGGUCUUGUUUGACUCGGGAGGACGUGUAUAAUACCCAUGUAGAUGUAGAUGUAGUGUAGGGACGCCUGGCCGGAUACAGGCGGGCUGUCGAUCGCUGGUGCGUUCAUUCAGCCCAAUUCCCUGGAGUUGGAGCUGCAGGUUACUGUCCCGGCUGCCCUCCCACACUUCUCUCCUCAAAUUUUCUUGUUUUCCUGCAGAACAUAAUACCCAUACUAAACGCCAAUGCUCUACUCAAAAAUUCACUUUUUCCCAAUAGAGAACGGACUGUGUUAGACAGUGCAUGUUGUUACACGGUAAAUUUUUCUAGAAGACCAAAUUUAUAAGUUCCUUAGUUAUUCUAUUUUUAACUAAAUAAGUUCUUGUACUAUAAGCAGUAAUCGGAAUAGGCAGAGUAGAUAUAUUUAUUUUUAAACGAAAUGACUUCCUUGCGAUAGUAUUUUUUCAGUACAGAUGGUAUUUUUUUUACGCACUAGUGCGAGAAGUGGUUCAUUAUACGCCAGGUCGAAACUUCGGA